AAGCCAGUGUAGUAUAGUGGUAUGAGAACUGGAUUAGGACUCUGGAGACCAGGGUUCAAAUCCCUACUGGGCUG